GGGGGAUCAAGCCUCCAGCUUUGAAGUUCCCGUCCUCAGUUUGCGCGUCCGGAGUUAAUGCCGGGGACGGACGAGAAGGGGCUUCAGGCUUUACGAGAUACAAACAGACUGUCCAGCUCAGACACCAGUAGCUGGUGUGCGUGAAGUACCUGCCACGUUCAUCCUGUGACCACUUUUUGGACCAGAGCUGAUUGCAUCACAUUUGGGCACCUGAUGGAAAUACGGCUUAUAUAGAUGCUGCCCAUUGGAGCUAUGGAGGUGGCCUGGCCUGAGAGCUCUGACUAAUGGUACAGCAGGGAUCCAAGGCAAUUAGAUCUCCUUCCUGGGGAAUUUAAAUGUGAGACACACAGAAAGCUGGAGGCAAGCAGAAAUCAGUAAGCAGAAGACAUUACGUGAUAGAAGCCAUGAGUAAGCAGAGGCUUGAGUAGAGAGAAAAACAAACUGAGCUCUAGAAACAAAUGCAGAGAAGGGCUGGUGCUCUACAUGGCAGAGCGCACAGGAGGGAGCCCAGCCACCCAGUGCUGAGGGCCCACUGCAUGAUGAGGCGACAGCCUGAAUAACCUUCAGGUCCCUGUGUUUUAUUCUCUGCAGUGCUGGACUUUGCUGCAUAUGCCAUUGCGCCCUGUCUCCGUCCUUCCCCACGUGUCCUUACAAUAAAUCCCUUGCCAAUGAA